rnacentral:rRNA from 1 species
UACGUAGGGUGCAAGCGUUGUCCGGAAUUAUUGGGCGUAAAGAGCUCGUAGGCGGUCUGUCGCGUCGGAUGUGAAAACCCAGGGCUUAACCCUGGACCUGCAGUGGGUACGGGCAGACUAGAGUGCGGUAGGGGAGAUCGGAAUUCCUGGUGUAGCGGUGAAAUGCGCAGAUAUCAGGAGGAACACCGGUGGCGAAGGCGGAUCUCUGGGCCGUAACUGACGCUGGAGGAGCGAAAGCAUGGG